CUCAGCCAGAGUAGUGGGUCAUUUAAGUCCUUGGAUGUGUGCAGAGAUGACAAUAUUGCCUACCAGCACCUGAAUCGUUAUUUUUGUACAGCACUGCUCACCUAAUUCCUUCGCUUUGCGGUACAUUCUUUCUUGUCGUUAUGUCCAAAUUUCCCUCCCUUCCUAAGGAACUGAUCCUCCAGCAUCAAAGUCAGAGGGAGAUUUUGCUCAGGCUUCUGCAGGAACAUCGUCAAGGCCUGGAUUUUGAUUUGGAUAAACUCCACUGAGGAGGUACCAUACAUCUGCCCUUCGUACCUGCUGGCUGCUCCCUACCUGUCCCCAUACAUACAGCUGGCCACUGCCAGCUCCUAACCAACCUUUCCAGCCC
rnacentral:lncRNA from 1 species